rnacentral:lncRNA from 1 species
CGACCCUAGGAUUGAAUCCACAUCUUCUGCAUUGGCAAGUGGAUUCUUUACCACUGAGCCAUCUGGUAAGCCCAAUACCGAGCCAUUUGGCUGCAAAGAUGUGCCAUCAUUAAGAAAAGGAAGAAUGACUCUGUGAUGCCACAGAGGCCAGGGAAGCUGCCACUUCUACCAUGGGCCCAGGGGUUCCCUCCUCAGAUGCAGAGAGCAGGCCUGUUGCCCAUGGCCCAGAGGGUGGAGCCCUUACUCUGAUAGGUCCAGAGGACAGAGUGUCCACACACACAGGUUGGUUGUCAAGCCUUAAACCUUAGAACUGCAGGCUAAAACCAACAUAUAGGCAGACCUUGUUUUGCUGUGUUUCACAUUACUGUGCUCUGUAACAAACUGAAGGUUUGUGGUAUCAUAGAGAGUACACUCAGACAUUAACAAGUCAGCUAGCAUCCCAAGGAGACAUCACAAAGAGUAAAAGGUUCAGAAAUCACAGGACACAGAGAAUAACUGAUGGGACUUGGACACUGGAGAAAACUUCUUAGCAGACUAGAUGGGAUGUGGCUGAAAUGGCUGUGAUGAGCCCAUCUUCAAAUAUUUGAAAAGCUUCAGUAUAGACAUAGUGAGCUCAGAAAGGAAGUCACCCUUAGAGACACAAUGUGGAGAGUUGUCAUCACACAAGCGACAGUUUAUGAGAGCCGACAGAGAGCUUGAAAAGCAAUAAAGGGGACAUAUGUAUUCGUAUAGCUGAAUCACUUUGCUGUACACUUGAAAAUAACAGAACACUGUAAAUCAACUAUACUCCAAUAAAUUUUCUUUUAAAAAAGGAAGAAAAAGUGUCAUGCUACUGAGAGUGACCAUUACAUGUGGCUAAUUAAUUGCUGGUAGCCAUGCCAGCAUAAUUUCAUAACAAGGACAGUACUCUGAAAUUGGUGAGUGUUUUUUUGGGGGUGGUGAGUGUUGAAUCACUGAAAAUUGGCUGAUUGAUUGAUUGAUUGAAGCCAAAAUUUUCUUUUCUUCUUCUUUUAAAAAUCUUUAGCCCCACCAUGCAGCAUCUGGGAUGUUAGUUCCCAACCAGGGACUGAAUA